rnacentral:rRNA from 1 species
GGCUCAGGAUGAACGCUGGCGGCGUGCCUAAUACAUGCAAGUCGAACGGAGCUUUGUAUUCGUACGAAGCUUAGUGGCGAACGGGUGAGUAACGCGUUGGUGACCUGCCCCGAAGAGAGGGACAACAGCUCGAAAGGGCUGCUAAUACCUCAUGUGGUCGUAAGGGUUAGAGGCCUUACGUCUAAAUGGAGUAAUCCGCUUCGGGAGGGGCCUGCGUCCCAUCAGCUUGUUGGUAGGGUAACGGCCUACCAAGGCGACGACGGGUAGGGGACCUGAGAGGGUGACCCCCCACACUGGCACUGAAACACGGGCCAGACACCUACGGGUGGCAGCAGUAGGGAGUAUUGCACAGUGGGUGAAAGCCUGAUGCAGCAACGCCGCGUGCACGAUGAAGGCCUUCGGGUCGUAAAGUGCUUUUCGGGGAGAUGAGGAAGGACAGUAUCCCCGGAAUAAGGAUCGGCUAACUACGUGCCAGCAGCCGCGGUAAAACGUAGGAUCCGAGCGUUAUCCGAAUUUACUGGGCGUAAAGCGCGUGUAGGCGGUUCGGUAAGUUGGAUGUGAAAUCUCCUGGCUCAACUGGGAGAGGUCGUUCAAUACUGUCGGACUAGAGGGUGGUAGAGGGAGGUGGAAUUCCCGGUGUAGUGGUGAAAUGCGUAGAUAUCGGGAGGAACACCAGUGGCGAAAGCGGCCUCCUAGACCGCUCCUGACGCUCAGACGCGAAAGCUAGGGGAGCAAACGGGAUUAGAAACCCCGGUAGUCCUAGCUGUAAACGAUGUGGACUUGGCGUUGGUGGGGUAAAAGCCAUCAGUGCCGAAGCUAACGCGAUAAGUCCACCGCCUGGGGACUACGGCCGCAAGGUUAAAACUCAAAU